AAAAAAAAGUUUGUUUCCAGUUUUUGGAGAAAAAAAAUAAUUUGUUUUUGAUUCUGAGAAAAAAAAAUUGUUUGUUUCACCCUCAGCUGCCACUAUAUGUAAUGCUAAAAUUGAAAGAAAAAAAUUCUUUUCGACUUGUCGCGAAAAAAAUAGAUUGUUUUUCGCCACAGGCGAAAAAAAAAUUUGUCCAGAAAAAAAACCAUAGCCCCCCCC
rnacentral:lncRNA from 1 species